UGUCGAACGCAUAAAGGCCUGACAUCUUAUGAUGCAGAGCUUAUGCAGGCGCCGCCGUUCCACGUUUCUCUUUCUUCAAUAAGGAUAAAGAACCUUGCUGCUCCGGUAAUGGCUGGGCUCUCGCAGGUUCUACAGGGCCUGUAGCUCAGUUGGUUAGAGCACACGCNUGAUAAGCGUGGG
rnacentral:misc_RNA from 1 species